UCCCACCGCGGACCCCGCGUCCGGGAAGGCGCCCCGCGUUCCCCCUUCCGCCUCGGGCAGCGGGGCGGGGUACGCGAAGUAGCGACUUUCUGCGGUACCUUUACGCAGGGUCGCCAUCUAGUGACGGCAGGAUAUACUGCUGCGUUCGGCCGCGAAGCCGGCCGACGCUACAAGUUGGGAACGUUUCUGAAUACUUCAUGUGCAAAGACACAACUCCAGACUGAAAGGUCAUUACAGUCCCAGUGGACAAAGAUUAAGGACUGCCUGUCCACAUGGAAACAACUCGAAUGUCCACCAGCAGGAGACUCCUUAAAUGAAUUAUGUAUGGGUAUGUAUUUAAUAGCAAUGUCUUGGAAAUAAAAUAUAUGCACAUAUAAUAACAACGUAGGUAAGACAGGCAUGGAAAAAAAUCCAGAAGACAAGAUAUUGAAAUGUUAAUAACCGAGAUGUCUGGGGGGCAUGAAAUUUCUUUCUAUAGCAUGUAUUUCUGUAAUAUUUAAAUUUCUGUAAAAUUUAAAUUUAAAUCACAAGCAUGUAUUGCUGUUAUAAGCAGAAAAAGAUUCUAUUUAUUUUUUAAUGUUCAUUUAUUUUGAGAGAGAGAGAGCGUGAGGAGAGGCCAAGAGAGAGGGAGAGAGAGAAUCCCAAGCAGGCUCCUCUCUGUCAGCGCAGAACCUGACACAGGGCUCAAUCUCGUGAACCGUGAGAUCAUGACCUGAGUUGAAAUCAAGAGUUGGACGACGUUUAACCCAUGGGUCACCCAGGCGGCCCGUAAAUGGCCUCCUGAUGACAAAGCCCCCAUGGCUCUACAUUGAAGGCACAACGGAGACUGCUCCAAAGCCUGGGCCUCACCCUAAGGGAGCCCACAGGGCCUAACACAGCUGGUGGCUAAAUUGGGGUUUUCUGCUACUUACAGUUAGAGUGGUGAAUGCUACAUGCUAACUCGAGAUUUAAAAAAGGGAGGUAAGGGAAAGAUACUCCAGGGUCAUAUGACAUCCACAGAUACAGACAAGCAAGCUUUAGGAAGGGCUGGGACCAGAGAAAUUCCAGGGACCUGAAGAGGAG